CCCUUAGAUGUUCGGGGCUGCACGCGCGCUACACUGAAGGAAUCAGCGUGCUAAAACCAUUGUCGAAAGGCAUUGGUAAACCCAUUAAAAUCCUACGUGAUUGGGAUCGGGAAUUGCAAUUAUUUCCCUUGAACGAGGAAUUCCCAGUAAGUGUGGGUCAUAAGCUCGCGUUGAUUACGUCCCUGCCCUUUGUACACACCGCCCGUCGCUGCCCGGGACUGAGCCGUUUCGAGAAAAGCGGGGACUGCUGCUGUCGGGGCUUUCGGGCCUUGGCUUCGGUGGAAACCGCUUUAAUCGCANUNGCUUGANCCGGGCAAAANUCGUANCA
rnacentral:rRNA from 1 species